rnacentral:rRNA from 1 species
GUAGUCAUAUGCUUGUCUCAAAGAUUAAGCCAUGCAUGUGUAAGUAUAAGCGAUUGUACUGUGAGACUGCGAACGGCUCAUUAUAUCAGUAAUAAUUUCUUCGGUAGUUUCUUUUAUAUGGAUACCUGCAGUAAUUCUGGAAAUAAUACAUGCUGUAAGAGCCCUGUAUGGGGCUGCACUUAUUAGAUUGAAGCCGAUUUUAUUGGUGAAUCAUGAUAAUUGAGCAGAUUGACUGUUUUAGUCGAUGAAUCGUUUGAGUUUCUGCCCCAUCAGUUGUCGACGGUAGUGUAUUGGACUACGGUGACUAUAACGGGUGACGGAGAGUUAGGGCUCGACUCCGGAGAGGGAGCCUGAGAGACGGCUACCAUAUCCAAGGAUAGCAGCAGGCGCGUAAAUUACCCACUGUGGACUCCACGAGGUAGUGACGAGAAAUAUCGAUGCGAAGCGUGUAUGCGUUUUGCUAUCGGAAUGAGAGCAAUGUAAAACCCUCAUCGAGGAUCAACUGGAGGGCAAGUCUGGUGCCAGCAGCCGCGGUAAUUCCAGCUCCAGAAGCAUAUGCUAAAGUUGUUGCAGUUAAAAAGCUCGUAGUUGAAUUUCUGGCAUGGGCGACCGGUGCUUUCCCUGAAUGGGGAUUGAUUGUCUGUGUUGCCUUGGCCAUCUUUUUCUUUUCUUUUUAGGGGAGAAAUCUUUCACUGUAAUCAAAGCAGAGUGUUCCAAGCAGGUCGUAUGACCGGUAUGUUUAUUAUGGGAUGAUAAGAUAGGACUUGGGUGCUAUUUUGUUGGUUUGCACGCCUGAGUAAUGGUUAAUAGGAACAGUUGGGGGUAUUCGUAUUUAGGAGCUAGAGGUGAAAUUCUUGGAUUUCCGAAAGACGAACUAGAGCGAAGGCAUUUACCAAGCAUGUUUUCAUUAAUCAAGAACGAAAGUCUGGGGAUCGAAGAUGAUUAGAUACCAUCGUAGUCUAGACCGUAAACGAUGCCGACUUGCGAUUGUUGGGUGCUUUUUUAUGGGCCUCAGCAGCAGCACAUGAGAAAUCAAAGUCUUUGGGUUCCGGGGGGAGUAUGGUCGCAAGGCUGAAACUUAAAGGAAUUGACGGAAGGGCACCACCAGGAGUGGAGCCUGCGGCUUAAUUUGACUCAACACGGGAAAACUUACCAGGUCCAGACAUAGGUAGGAUUGACAGAUUGAGAGCUCUUUCAUGAUUCUAUGGGUGGUGGUGCAUGGCCGUUCUUAGUUGGUGGAGUGAUUUGUCUGGUUAAUUCCGUUAACGAACGAGACCUCGGCCUACUAAAUAGUGCGUGGUAUGGCAACAUAGUGCGUUUUUACUUCUUAGAGGGACAUGUCCGGUUUACGGGCAGGAAGUUCGAGGCAAUAACAGGUCUGUGAUGC